GUCCACGCCGUAAACGGUGGGCGCUAGGUGUGGGUUCCUUCCACGGGAUCUGUGCCGUAGCUAACGCAUUAAGCGCCCCGCCUGGGGAGUACGGCCGCAAGGCUAAAACUCAAAGGAAUUGACGGGGGCCCGCACAAGCGGCGGAGCAUGUGGAUUAAUUCGAUGCAACGCGAAGAACCUUACCUGGGUUUGACAUGUACUGGAAAGCCGUAGAGAUACGGCCCCCCUUGUGGCCGGUACACAGGUGGUGCAUGGCUGUCGU
rnacentral:rRNA from 1 species